UCUGUUCGAGGAUGCAUCGUGGA
rnacentral:piRNA from 1 species